CCAGGAUAACAGCAUAACACAGGCUCCCAUCAUUCCCAAAAUAUGAGACAUCAAAGGUUGUCCAGGAUAACAGCAUAACACGGGCCCCCUUCAUUCCCAAAAUAUGAGACAUCAAAGGUUGUCCAGGAUAACAGCAUAACACGGGCCCCCGUCAUUCCCAAAAUAUGAGACAUCAAAGGUUGUCCCAGAUAACAGCAUAACACAGGCUCCCGUCAUUCCGGAACGUCCUAAUAACAUUGUUUUGCGGGUUGGACUGAGCUGACGUUGGCUAGCCUUUCAAGAGUAAACCUGUAUAUAAUAUGUAUAUCUCUGUCUUUAUUGACUUUGACAUGCUUCAUGGGGCGCUUCUCCUACACCUCCUCCUACACUUCAUUACACCCUCUUGAACGGGAACACAGGUCUGAGUGUGCUUCAUGAAUAACAGGUUAACUACUUGGCUAAUGAGCUACAUGCUACCAGUCAAACUGCUAUCAUUGUCCGACUGCCCAACCAGGAAGUGGAAUUGUAUCAGGAAUGGGUAUUAUAUUAUAGACACAUAAGACUCAUUUAGCUUUAGGAGUACUGGUCGGCUCUGCUAUGACUUUCUGACUUCAAUUGACAGUUUCAGAUGAGCCUUGCAAAUCUGAAACUGGCGCUGAGGUUCUUUUUACUGCGAGGCAGGCAGUCAAUUCAGCUUAGCAAUGCACAUCUGUUUUCUGAUGCGGGAGGCUAAACAACAGCUUUACGAUAAAGAUUCUUUUCAGGAGCCUUAAUGAGAAUGAAAUGAUUUUCAGUUAAUCGAGUGCAUUUAAAUGAAGUUGGCCACUGUUGCUGGUAAACUGUAUUCAUUUAUAAAUACUGUUUCUACAUCAACUCUGGUUCAUACUGUAAACACCAGAAUAAUACACACACACACACACUGCUGUACAUACAUGUUUAUUUGAUCCGAUAGACA
ensembl:lncRNA